rnacentral:rRNA from 1 species
UAAAACCAAAUUAAUUGAAAUAUAACUUUUAACAAUGGAUCUCUAGGCUCUCACAUCGAUGAAGAACACAGUGAAAUGUGAUAAGUAAUGUGAAUUGCAGAAUUCAGUGAAUCAUUGAAUCUUUGAACGCAUCUUGCGCUUUUUGGUAUUCCAAAAGGCACACCUGUUUGAGUGUCAUGAAAAUUUCCUCAUUAAACAUUUUUUAUUAAAUGUCUUAAUGGAUGUUGAGUGUUGCUGUCAUUGGCUCACUUUAAAUAAAUAAGUCAAGUGUUGAAUGAAAUAUGGAUUGACUUGGUGUAAUAAUUACCAAAAAGCAUCAAGGAAAGUAGCAAUACUGCCAUUUUUGUUGUAAACAAAGACUCCUAAACCAUCUGGGGUGUACAUUGUACGGACCCAAACCAUUAUUUUUUAAGACCUCAAAUUAGGUGGGACUACCCGCUGAACUUAAGCAUAUCAAUAAGCGGAGGA